rnacentral:lncRNA from 1 species
UCCUUUCUGUCUUUGCCUUUUCCAUACAAAACAUUUGCUCUAGAUUUUAGGAAGCGUCCAUCUGUGGAGAGGGUGUGGGUCAAGGAGAAGUAAGUCAGAGAACAAGAGGUAAUAUUUAGCUUCUGACGCAUACACAGUUGGGUUAUUCAAUAAGUUAAUUGCUUCUCAAGCCAGAGCAUUGUCUUGAGAGAUAAUUUUUCUAAAUUUUUUACUCUUUUUGUUUCAGCCUAGGUUGGAGAUCUCAGUUCACAGAGCCAUAGGUCCUCUGGUAGCAUAAGGAAAUGCUCUGCUUGCCAUUAAGACAUAUCCAGAGACAGGAAGAAUGAAGCGUGUGGAGGCUUGUGAAGGAAGGCUCAUCAGGGACAAAAAUAAGAGUACGGGUUUCCUGAACAUUUGAGCAUCGAGUUAAAUUGGUUCAAGGACUGAUGACCAAGUCUGAGCUAUUAAAGAUCUGCUGUGCCAACUGCCCCAAACAACUCCCAGGGUGACCUGUGAAAAUUGGAAAUCUCAAUGGAGAGGCCUGGAAGAACAUGGAUCUUGUUCAUUCCCAUUCACCUGGGAUGAAUUUCAGGAUCUUAGGACCUAUGAUUGAACUGGCAGCUGAUCGAUUCAAUGGAAUUUAGAGUUCUCUUUCUUGACACUGAACCGAAAUUUGCUUUGGCUAAAAGAGUCCUGUGAUUUACAGAGGCAAUAAAGAACUAGAGGGGGCACAUUUAUCAUGGAGUUCAGCACACCAGGAGCCAUUUUCUCCAGCGGUAAAGGCAAGUGAUAAAA